rnacentral:tRNA from 1 species
UGGGGUUUUGACUCAGUGGUAGAGUGCUCGCCUAGCACGUGCAAGUCCCUGGGUUCAAUCCUCAGCACCACAU